AUACGGAGGAUGCGAGCGUUAUCCGGAUUUAUUGGGUUUAAAGGGAGCGUAGGCGGGAGCUUAAGUCAGCGGUUAAAUGGUGCGGCUCAACCGUGCCCUGCCGUUGAAACUGGGUUUCUUGAGAGUGCAAGGGGCGGAUGGAAUUCAUGGUGAAGCGGUGAAAUGCUUAGAUAUCAUGAAGAACUCCGAUUGCGAAGGCAGUCCGCUGGGGCACGUCUGACGCUGAUGCUCGAAGGUGCGGGAAUCAAACAGGAUUAGAUACCCUGGUAGUCCGCACGGUAAACGAUGAUUACCCGCUGUCGGCGGUAGACAGUCGGCGGCCAAGCGAAAGCGAUAAGUAAUCCACCUGGGGAGUACGCCGGCAACGGUGAAACUCAAAUGAAUUGACGGGG
rnacentral:rRNA from 1 species